GAGUUUCCACAAAUAAACAUCCACAGACAAGGGACGAAUUUGCUUCUCAGCAAGAUUUCAAAGCUGUGCACCGGAGUGGGAGAGAAAACAGGAAGGCAGGAGGGGUGGGGUGGAGGAGGGGCAGAGGGGCCUGCGCAACCUGGGCCCUCACCCGAAACGGACUAAAGGACUAAAGGGAUGCACGGUUGUUUCUGUUUUUGUUUUUAAUGAGGCGCGAAAGUUUCAGGUAUUGCUGGCAGUAAUGAUGCCCUGGGCCCAGCUCUGAGCCUCUGGGUUUCAAGUUGCCUGCUGUUAGCCUGAAAAGGUCCCAGCACUAGGUCUAUCUUCAGGAUGCCAUGGAAGUGACCUGCCAUGAUGCUAAUGAACUAAACCUCUGACACUGCAAGCCUGCCCCCAGUUUAUUGUUGUCCUUUAAAAGAGUGACCUUGGUCCUAGUGUCUCUACACAGCAAUAAAACCCAAACUAAGAAGG
rnacentral:lncRNA from 1 species